CAGCCGCCGCGGGAAUACGAACCGUGCGAACGUUAUUCGGAAUCACUGGGCUUAAAGCGCGUGUAGGCGGGCCGCCACGUCGGCUGCUGAAAUCCCCCGGCUCAACCGGGGAAGUGGCACCGAUACGAGCGGCCUCGAGGGGGGUAGGGGGCACUGGAACUUCCGGUGGAGCGGUGAAAUGCGUUGAGAUCGGAAGGAACGCCCGUGGCGAAAGCGAGGCCCUGGACCCUUUCUGACGCUGAGACGCGAAAGCCAGGGGAGCGAACGGGAUUAGAUACCCCGGUAGUCCCUGUCUCUUAUU
rnacentral:rRNA from 1 species